rnacentral:rRNA from 1 species
AGGGUUUGAUCAUGGCUCAGGACGAACGCUGGCGGCGUGCCUAAUACAUGCAAGUCGAGCGGACAGAAGGGAGCUUGCUCCCGGAUGUUAGCGGCGGACGGGUGAGUCACACGUGGGUAACCUGCCUGUAAGACUGGGAUAACUCCGGGAAACCGGAGCUAAUACCGGAUAGUUCCUUGAACCGCAUGGUUCCAGGAUGAAAGACGGUUUCGGCUGUCACUUACAGAUGGACCCGCGGCGCAUUAGCUAGUUGGUGAGGUACUGGCUCACCAAGGCGACGAUGCGUAGCCGACCUGAGAGGGUGAUCGGCCACACUGGGACUGAGACACGGCCCAGACUCCUACGGGAGGCAGCAGUAGGGAAUCUUCCGCAAUGGACGAAAGUCUGACGGAGCAAGGCCGCGUGAGUGAAGAAGGUUUUCGGAUCGUAAAGCUCUGUUGUUAGGGAUGAACAAGUGCGAGAGUAACUGCUCGCACCUUGACGGUACCUAACCAGAAAGCCACGGCUAACUACGUGCCAGCAGCCGCGGUAAUACGUAGGUGGCAAGCGUUGUCCGGAAUUAUUGGGCGUAAAGGGCUCGCAGGCGGUUUCUUAAGUCUGAUGGGAAAUCCCCCGGCUCAACCGGGGGGGGUCAUUGGAAACUGGGAAACUUGAGUGCAGAAGAGGAGAGUGGAAUUCCACGUGUAGCAGUGAAAUGCGUAGAGAUGUGGAGGAACACCAGUGGCGAAGGCGACUCGCUGGUCUGUAACUGGCGAAAGCGUGGGGAGCGAACAGGAUUAGAUACCCUGGUAGUCCACGCCGUACACGAUGAGUGCUAAGUGUUAGGGGGUUUCGCCCCUUAGUGCUGCAGCUAACGCAUUAAGCACUCCGCCUGGGGAGUACGAUCGCAAGACUGAAACUCAAAUGAAUUGACGGGGGCCCGCACAAGCGGUGGAGCAUGUGUUUUAAUUCGAAGCAACGCGAAGAACCUUACCAGGUCUUGACAUCCUCUGACAACCCUAGAGAUAGGGCUUUCCCUUCGGGGACAGAGUGACAGGUGGUGCAUGGUUGUCGUCAGCUCGUGUCGAGAGAUGUUGGGUUAAGUCCCGCAACGAGCGCAACCCUUGAUCUUAGUUGCCAGCAUUCAGUUGGGCACUCUAAGGUGACUGCCGGUGACAAACCGCAGGAAGGU